UGCCUAGCAACUUCUAUCCCUACCUCCUCGUGGUACUGGCCGGGGUACGAGUAACCUUGGGGAAGAUCGGGUAACCAACCCCCGGUGGGAACUUUGGUCGUAUGCUGACAGGGAAGG
rnacentral:ribozyme from 1 species